rnacentral:rRNA from 1 species
UACGUAGGCAGCGAGCGUUGUUCGGAAUUACUGGGCGUAAAGAGUGUGUAGGCGGUGCUCUAAGUUCGGUGUGAAAUCUCCCGGCUUAACUGGGAGGGUGCGCCGGAAACUGGAGUGCUCGAGCGUGGGAGAGGAAAGCGGAAUUCCUGGUGUGGCGGUGAAAUGCGUAGAUAUCAGGAGGAACACCUGCGGUGUAGACGGCUUUCUGGACCAUUGCUGACGCUGAGACACGAAAGCGUGGGUAGCAAACAGG